rnacentral:pre_miRNA from 1 species
ACAACAUACGGACCGUCGGUCUACCUAGCAAUAUUACCAGCUCGGUAGAACAUCUUCCCUCCGUCGU